GUUCGACCAGAGGCGGCGAUCGACGAGCGGCUGUAGUGGCAGCAAUUGGCGAGUGACAACGGCGACUGAGGAAAAGCUUCGGCAGACUCGUGAAUUAUAUGCCACGUUUAAUGCAAUGUCGGAGAUAAAAGAAUUGAUGCUAAAGAAGACUUCUUUGUUAAACUCUAUAAGUUCACAGGUGAGGAGGAGCAUUGGAUCUUCAAUCAGGCUGUAGAAGUUUUCUCAAAUGGGAGUGAGCUAGUUGGAGUUUGAUCUGGUUUUGUGCAUUGAUGGCAUCAUUUCUUCUGUGUCAUGUGGUAAUAGAUUUACAUUAGAUGUUAAGAUCAAGAGCAUUUCGGUUGUUGGUGGCGCUGAUGGAACUAGUCCUUCCAAGAUGAGGGCGUAAUUAAUUAUAUUGUAAAUGAUUAUUAUUAUUUUUUGUUUCUUUUUGCAAAUGCUAUCCAUUUGAGUAUGUAAUGAUAUCUUCGUAUAUUGAUAUUGGAGUUUAUUGUUGAUACUAAAUAAUUAAUUAUAUGUAAUAUAUAAGUUUUUUUAUUUGUACCGUCAUUACUUUUGAUUUGUUUUAGAUACAAAUUUGAGUUCUUGAAUUAUAAAAAAUUAUUAAUAUUGUUAGAGGA